rnacentral:rRNA from 1 species
AUUGAACGCUGGCGGCAGGCCUAACACAUGCAAGUCGAGCGCGAAAGUCUUCGGAUGAGUAAAGCGGCGGACGGGUGAGUAAUGCAUGGGAAUCUGCCUGGUAGUGGGGGACAACGUUUCGAAAGAGACGCUAAUACCGCAUACGCCCUACGGGGGAAAGGGGGGGGAUCUUCGGACCUCUCGCUAUCAGAUGAGCCCAUGUCAGAUUAGCUAGUUGGUAGGGUAAAGGCCUACCAAGGCGACGAUCUGUAACUGGUCUGAGAGGAUGAUCAGUCACACUGGAACUGAGACACGGUCCAGACUCCUACGGGAGGCAGCAGUGGGGAAUAUUGGACAAUGGGGGCAACCCUGAUCCAGCCAUGCCGCGUGUGUGAAGAAGGCCCUAGGGUUGUAAAGCACUUUCAGUGGGGAGAAAGGUUGUUCAGUUAAUACCUGAAUGAAUUGAUGUUACCCACAGAAGAAGCACCGGCUAACUCCGUGCCAGCCGCCGCUGUAA